GGGAGGAUCUCAUUGAUGUCUACAAAACCCGAAAGGCAUCCCAAUGCGGGGGAAGAGAGGCUCAGCCCGUCGACUGAUCCCAGGAGUCAGGAGAUCCUCAGGAUGGUGUAUUUCCUCGGGAUGGUGGAGCUUGAGUGACUCUAGUCAAGCAUAUCUUAGUUAUGACUGGUGAAAAGUUUUCCCAUCUCUGUUUAAAGUGGAGCAGGUGGACCUGCCCUAAAGAAGGCUGUGGCCUGUGGAGAACCCUUGCUGGAGCAGAUUCUGGGCUGGACCUGUAGCCUGUGGAGAGGAGACCAUGCAGGAGCAUGUGACCUGGCAGGAGCUGCUGCCCAUGGGGCACCCACGUUGGAGCAGUGUGCUUCUGAUGGAUGGACCCUGUGGUAUGGACCAUAUUUGGAGCUGUUCUUGAAGAGCUGCUGACUGUGGGAAGCCCAUGCAGGAUCAGUUCAGGAAGGACACGCUUCCUAUGGGAGGGACCCCACAUUGCAGCAGGGGAAGAGAGUGAUUGAGGAGUGGAAGAGAUGAAGUUCUUAUACAAUGACUGCAGCUCCCAUUCCCCCAUUCCCCUGCACUGCUCGGCAGGAAGAGGUGGAAGAGGGUGGAUGGGAGCAAGGUGUUUUCUUUUCUUUCCUUUGCUUCUCACUUCUCUAUCUUGUUAGUAUUAGGCAAUAAAUUUUACUAUCUCCCUACUCUGAGUCUGUUUUGCCUGUCAUUAUAAUUGUUGAGUGUUCUCCCUGUCCUUACCUCAACCCUUGAGCACUUUGCAUCGUAUUUUCUCCCCCUUUCCCUUUGAGGAGGGGAAGUGAGAGAGCAGUUAUG